UAAAAAUAACAUUUUAUCUUUGUCAUCCUCAGGUACCAAGGACCUAUUUUGAUAGAGGGCAAAAGUUCAUGCGCAAGGGGACCGUGGGCGACUGGAAGACGAUGUUCACGGUGGCGAUGAACGAGGAGUUCGACGCUUUCGUCCGCGAGAAGAUGAAGGGAUACGAACUCGACGACGGAUGGACCAGCGACACAAAGUGACUGUCGCGACACAAAGUGGCACCGGCACAUGGCAGAACAGCAACUAGGAUACGGCACGGCACGUGCGAUAGCCUGAUUUUGUUGAGAGAGAGAGAGAAAAGCACACAAUCCUGCCUAAUGCUGCAUAGAGAGUUUUAACGUUUAAUGUCACCUGAUUAUGAGAGUAACUAUGCAAUGUGUUGACUCAUUAUACACCUUCGGUUUCCAUAGCAUUUCAUAUAUUAUUGGUGGGAGUUACCAUCACUCGAGCACAUAAGCAGGAAACCACGCCACAGGUAUUGAAUGGCAAUGUAUAUUUCACUGUGUUCUGAAUGCUUGUACAGCUCUUUGUUUCAAAGAAAAAAUAAAGCAAUGCCGCAGGAGCUGCUUCCAAA